UACGAAGGGGGCUAGCGUUGUUCGGAAUGACUGGGCGUAAAGCGCACGUAGGCGGCUUGUUAAGUCGGGGGUGAAAUCCUGAGGCUCAACCUCAGAACUGCCUUCGAUACUGGCGAUCUUGAGUCCGGAAGAGGUUGGUGGAACAGCUAGUGUAGAGGUGAAAUUCGUAGAUAUUAGCUAGAACACCAGUGGCGAAGGCGGCCAACUGGUCCGGAACUGACGCUGAGGUGCGAAAGCGUGGGGAGCAAACAGG
rnacentral:rRNA from 1 species